AUACGUAGGGGGCAAGCGUUGUCCGGAAUUAUUGGGCGUAAAGGGUGCGUAGGCGGCCGAUCAAGUCAGGUGUGAAAGACCCGUGCUUAACAUGGGGGUUGCACUUGAAACUGGUUGGCUUGAGUAUGGGAGAGGCAAGCGGAAUUCCCGGUGUAGCGGUGAAAUGCGUAGAGAUCGGGAGGAACACCAGUGGCGAAGGCGGCUUGCUGGACCAAAACUGACGCUGAGGCACGAAAGCGUGGGUAGCAAACAGGAUUAGAUACCCUGGUAGUCCACGCCGUAAACGAUGGAUACUAGGUGUAGGGGGUUUAACACCUUCUGUGCCGGAGCAAACGCAAUAAGUAUCCCGCCUGGGGAGUACGAUCGCAAGAUUGAAACUCAAAGGAAUUGACGGGG
rnacentral:rRNA from 1 species